rnacentral:rRNA from 1 species
GACGAACGCUGGCGGCGUGCCUAAUACAUGCAAGUAGAACGCACAGUUUAUACCGUAGCUUGCUACACCAUAGACGGUGAGUUGCGAACGGGUGAGUAACGCGUAGGUAACCUGCCUGGUAGCGGGGGAUAACUAUUGGAAACGAUAGCUAAUACCGCAUAAUAUUAAUUAUUGCAUGAUAAUUAAUUGAAAGGUGCAAUUGCACCACUACCAGAUGGACCUGCGUUGUAUUAGCUAGUAGGUGAGGUAACGGCUCACCUAGGCGACGAUACAUAGCCGACCUGAGAGGGUGCUCGGCCACACUGGGACUGCGAAACCGCCCAGCCUCCUCCGGGCCGCAGCCGUAGGGAAUCUUCGGCAAUGGACGAAAGUCUGACCGAGCAACGCCGCGUGAGUGAAGAAGGUUUUCGGUUCGUAAAGGUCUGUUGUAGGAGAAGAACGGGUGUGGGAGUGGAAAGUUCACACUGUGACGGUAUCUUACCAGAAAGGGACGGCUAACUACGUG